rnacentral:rRNA from 1 species
UAACUGAAGAGUUUGAUCAUGGCUCAGAUUGAACGCUGGCGGCAGGCUUAACACAUGCAAGUCGAGCGGGGGAAGGUAGCU